rnacentral:rRNA from 1 species
GAUGAACGCUGGCGGCGUGCCUAAUACAUGCAAGUCGAGCGAACGGACGAGAAGCUUGCUUCUCUGAUGUUAGCGGCGGACGGGUGAGUAACACGUGGAUAACCUACCUAUAAGACUGGGAUAACUUCGGGAAACCGGAGCUAAUACCGGAUAAUAUUUUGAACCGCAUGGUUCAAAAGUGAAAGACGGUCUUGCUGUCACUUAUAGAUGGAUCCGCGCUGCAUUAGCUAGUUGGUAAGGUAACGGCUUACCAAGGCAACGAUGCAUAGCCGACCUGAGAGGGUGAUCGGCCACACUGGAACUGAGACACGGUCCAGACUCCUACGGGAGGCAGCAGUAGGGAAUCUUCCGCAAUGGGCGAAAGCCUGACGGAGCAACGCCGCGUGAGUGAUGAAGGUCUUCGGAUCGUAAAACUCUGUUAUUAGGGAAGAACAUAUGUGUAAGUAACUGUGCACAUCUUGACGGUACCUAAUCAGAAAGCCACGGCUAACUACGUGCCAGCAGCCGCGGUAAUACGUAGGUGGCAAGCGUUAUCCGGAAUUAUUGGGCGUAAAGCGCGCGUAGGCGGUUUUUUAAGUCUGAUGUGAAAGCCCACGGCUCAACUGUGGAGGGUCAUUGGAAACUGGAAAACUUGAGUGCAGAAGAGGAAAGUGGAAUUCCAUGUGUAGCGGUGAAAUGCGCAGAGAUAUGGAGGAACACCAGUGGCGAAGGCGACUUUCUGGUCUGUAACUGACGCUGAUGUGCGAAAGCGUGGGGAUCAAACAGGAUUAGAUACCCUGGUAGUCCACGCCGUAAACGAUGAGUGCUAAGUGUUAGGGGGUUUCCGCCCCUUAGCGCUGCAGCUAACGCAUUAAGCACUCCGCCUGGGGAGUACGACCGCAAGGUUGAAACUCAAAGGAAUUGACGGGGACCCGCACAAGCGGUGGAGCAUGUGGUUUAAUUCGAAGCAACGCGAAGAACCUUACCAAAUCUUGACAUCCUUUGACAACUCUAGAGAUAGAGCUUUCCCCUUCGGGGGACAAAGUGACAGGUGGUGCAUGGUUGUCGUCAGCUCGUGUCGUGAGAUGUUGGGUUAAGUCCCGCAACGAGCGCAACCCUUAAGCUUAGUUGCCAUCAUUAAGUUGGGCACUCUAAGUUGACUGCCGGUGACAAACCGGAGGAAGGUGGGGAUGACGUCAAAUCAUCAUGCCCCUUAUGAUUUGGGCUACACACGUGCUACAAUGGACAAUACAAAGGGCAGCGAAACCGCGAGGUCAAGCAAAUCCCAUAAAGUUGUUCUCAGUUCGGAUUGUAGUCUGCAACUCGACUACAUGAAGCUGGAAUCGCUAGUAAUCGUAGAUCAGCAUGCUACGGUGAAUACGUUCCCGGGUCU